CAAAUAGUACUUACUUCUGUUUCAAUAUGAGUUUUAAGUAACUCUCCGGUAGGCGGCGCUAUCUCUAGUAUGGGCAUUCGCUUAUCUGUCAAAAUCGGCCGGUUACAUGUUUAUCUUUCGAAAGUAAAUCGCUAUAAUUUAAUAAUUGUUUCUCUUCAUAUUGGCAUAUUGUAGCAGUGAUGAUAGUGAUAUGGAAUUAUUUCAAGUGAUAAUGGAUUGUGAUGCAGAUAGUGAUAGUGAGGCCGAUAUCAUAUGGUUAGGAAAAUAAAGAUCGUCUGAAUUACAUGGCGAAGAUCAAUAAUUACGAAUUUGACUAUAGAUUUCUGAGCAAAGGUGUUGUGAAUGAAUUGAUUAAUUUAAUGAGACCAUAUUUGAGUGUAACGUCAAAAAGAUUCAAAUAUAGGAGAGGAAUUUAGAAAUAGAAAAAGAGUAUUUUGAAUGUGUAAUUUGUGUGCAAUGCAUCAUUGAUGUUUCAAAAUGUUGUUGCUUGAUGGCCUGGGUCUGCUCAUGAUACAACUAUAAUUAACCAUUCCGAUUGAAAAGAUGCAUUGGUGUUUGUAAAAGAAGACUCCCUGUAUAUCAUUGAAAAGUAGAUUAAAACUAGAAAAUAUGCAAGCUGUUAUUAUAGCUGCCAUGCUGCAUAAUAUCGUCAGAAGUAUGAAUUUAGAAGAAUUAGAAUCAGAAAUUUCAGUCGCAGAUACAUUACAGGAAAAUAAUAUAAUUGUUCGUAACAAUUUUUCAAAACUUACAUCUGAAAUACAACUAUAUACUUAUAAAUAAUUGCUUCCAAAGAUAAUUUAUAAAAUAAACUCCAAA